rnacentral:rRNA from 1 species
UAAUACGGAGGAUGCAAGCGUUAUCCGGAAUUAUUGGGCGUAAAGCGUCCGCAGGUGGCUGGUCAAGUCUGCUGUUAAAGCGUAGAGCUUAACUCUAUAUCGGCAGUGGAAACUGGACAGCUAGAGUACGGUAGGGGUAGCGGGAAUUCCCAGUGUAGCGGUGAAAUGCGUAGAUAUUGGGAAGAACACCAGCGGCGAAAGCGCGCUACUGGGCCUGUACUGACACUGAGGGACGAAAGCUAGGGGAGCGAAAGGGA